rnacentral:rRNA from 1 species
AGUAACACGUGAGCAACCUGCCCCUGACUCCGGGAUAAGCGGUGGAAACGCCGUCUAAUACCGGAUACGACCCUCCUCCGCAUGGUGGGGGGUGGAAAGUUUUUUCGGUCGGGGAUGGGCUCGCGGCCUAUCAGCUUGUUGGUGGGGUAACGGCCUACCAAGGCGAUUACGGGUAGCCGGCCUGAGAGGGCGACCGGCCACACUGGGACUGAGACACGGCCCAGACUCCUGCGGGAGGCAGCAGUGGGGAAUAUUGCGCAAUGGGCGAAAGCCUGACGCAGCGACGCCGCGUGGGGGAUGACGGCCUUCGGGUUGUAAACCUCUUUUACCACUCACGCAGGCCCCACGUUUUCGUGGGGUUGACGGUAGGUGGGGAAUAAGGACCGGCUAACUACGUGCCAGCAGCCGCGGUAAUACGUAGGGUCCGAGCGUUGUCCGGAAUUAUUGGGCGUAAAGAGCUCGUAGGCGGCGUGUCGCGUCUGCUGUGAAAGACCGGGGCUUAACCCCGGUUCUGCAGUGGAUACGGGCAUGCUAGAGGUAGGUAGGGGAGACUGGAAUUCCUGGUGUAGCGGUGAAAUGCGCAGAUAUCAGGAGGAACACCGGUGGCGAAGGCGGGUCUCUGGGCCUUACCUGACGCUGAGGAGCGAAAGCAUGGGGAGCGAACAGGAUUAGAUACCCUGGUAGUCCAUGCCGUAAACGUUGGGCGCUAGGUGUGGGGACUUUCCACGGUUUCCGCGCCGUAGCUAACGCAUUAAGCGCCCCGCCUGGGGAGUACGGCCGCAAGGCUAAAACUCAAAGGAAUUGACGGGGGCCCGCACAAGCGGCGGAGCAUGUUGCUUAAUUCGACGCAACGCGAAGAACCUUACCAAGGUUUGACAUCACCCGUGGACCUGUAGAGAUACAGGGUCAUUUGGUUGGCGGGUGACAGGUGGUGCAUGGCUGUCGUCAGCUCGUGUCGUGAGAUGUUGGGUUAAGUCCCGCAACGAGCGCAACCCUUGUUCCAUGUUGCCAGCACGUAAUGGUGGGGACUCAUGGGAGACUGCCGGGGUCAACUCGGAGGAAGGUGGGGACGACGUCAAGUCAUCAUGCCCCUUAUGUCUUGGGCUGCAAACAUGCUACAAUGGCCGGUACAAUGGGCGUGCGAUACCGUGAGGUGGAGCGAAUCCCUAAAAGCCGGUCUCAGUUCGGAUUGGGGUCUGCAACUCGACCCCAUGAAGGUGGAGUCGCUAGUAAUCGCGGAUCAGCAACGCCGCGGUGAAUACGUUCCCGGGCCUUGUAC